rnacentral:rRNA from 1 species
GACGAACGCUGGCGGCGUGCUUAACACAUGCAAGUCGAACGGAAAGGCCCUGCUUGCAGGGUACUCGAGUGGCGAACGGGUGAGUAACACGUGGGUGAUCUGCCCUGCACUUCGGGAUAAGCCUGGGAAACUGGGUCUAAUACCGGAUAGGAGCCAUUCUUAGUGUGAUGGUUGGAAAGUUUUUUCGGUGUAGGAUGAGCUCGCGGCCUAUCAGCUUGUUGGUGGGGUAAUGGCCUACCAAGGCGGCGACGGGUAGCCGGCCUGAGAGGGUGGACGGCCACAUUGGGGCUGAGGUACGGCCCAGACUCCUACGGGAGGCAGCAGGGGGGAAUAUUGCACCAUGGGCGCAAGCCUGAUGCAGCGACGCCGCGGGGGGGAUGACGGCCUUCGGGUUGUAAACUCCUUUCGCUAGGGACGAAGCUUUUUGUGACGGUACCUAGAUAAGAAGCACCGGCUAACUACGUG